GAUGAACGCUGGCGGCGUGCCUAAUACAUGCAAGUCGAGCGAACAGACGAGGAGCUUGCGCCUCUGACGUUAGCGGCGGACGGGUGAAUAACACGUGGAUAACCUACCUAUAAGACUGGGAUAACUACGGGAAACCGGAGCUAAUACCGGAUAAUAUAUUGAACCGCAUGGUUCAAUAGAAAAAUACGGUUUUGCUGUCACUUAUAGAUGGAUCCGCGCCGCAUUAGGUAGUUGGUAAGGUAACGGCUUACCAAGGCAACGAUGCGUAACCGACCUGAUGGGGUGAUCGGCGACACUGGAAGUUAGCCGCCGUCCUUGCUCCUACGAGAGGCACCAGUCGGGAACCUGCCGCAGUAGUCGAAAGCUUUACGGAGCAACGCCGCGCGAGUGAUGAAGGCCUUCGGAUCGUAAUACUCUGUUUUUAGUGAAGAACCAAUGUGUACUUAACUAUGCACUUCUUGACGGUACCUAAUCAGAAAGCCACGGCUAACUACGUG
rnacentral:rRNA from 1 species